UCAAGGAAUAUUUGGUCUACUUAAUGAUU
rnacentral:piRNA from 1 species